rnacentral:rRNA from 1 species
CCUACGGGUGGUAGCAGUGGGGAAUAUUGGACAAUGGGCGAAAGCCUGAUCCAGCCAUGCCGCGUGUGUGAAGAAGGCCUUCGGGUUGUAAAGCACUUUCAGUGGGGAAGAAAGCCUUGGGGCUAAUACCCUCGAGGAAGGACAUCACCCACAGAAGAAGCACCGGCUAACUCCGUGCCAGCAGCCGCGGUAAUACGGAGGGUGCGAGCGUUAAUCGGAAUUACUGGGCGUAAAGCGCGCGUAGGCGGUCUGAUAAGCCGGUUGUGAAAGCCCCGGGCUCAACCUGGGAACGGCAUCCGGAACUGUCAGGCUAGAGUGCAGGAGAGGAAGGUAGAAGUCCCGGUGUAGCGGUGAAAUGCGUAGAGAUCGGGAGGAAUACCAGUGGCGAAGGCGGCCUUCUGGACUGACACUGACGCUGAGGUGCGAAAGCGUGGGUAGCAAACAGGAUUAGAUACCCGAGUAGUC